rnacentral:rRNA from 1 species
AUUGAACGCUGGCGGCAGGCCUAACACAUGCAAGUCGAGCGGAUGAGGCGAGCUUGCUCCUGGAUUCAGCGGCGGACGGGUGAGUAAUGCCUAGGAAUCUGCCUGGUAGUGGGGGAUAACGUCCGGGAACGGGCGCUAAUACCGCAUACGUCCCGAGGGAGAAAGUGGGGGAUCUUCGGACCUCACGCUAUCAGAUGAGCCUAGGUCGGAUUAGCGAGUUGGUGGGGUAAAGGCCUACUAAUGCGGCGAUCCGUAACUGGUGUGAGAGGGUGAUCAGUGACACUGGAACUGAGAGACGGUACUGGGUCUGAGGGGCGGCCGCGGUGCGGAAUGGUGGACGAAGGGGGGAAGACUGAACAAGGGGUGGCGGGCGUGUGAAGAAGGGCCUUGGACUGGAAGACGGUUUACGGUGUGAGGAAGGGCAGUGAGUUUGAACAUGCCUUGUGUGACGUUACUAAGAGAAUAAGCACCGGCUAACUUCGUG